rnacentral:rRNA from 1 species
UUUUAAAUAUUCUCUGCUCAAUGGUUUCAUCUAAAUAGCUGCAGUAUUUUCUGUACUAAGGUAGCAUAAUAAUUUGUUUUAUAAUUUAAAACUAGAAUGAAAGGUACCAUGAAAAAUUAACUAUUUAAAAAAUAAUAAGUAAAAUUUAAUAAUUAAGUUAAAAAUCUUAAAUUAGAUAAAAAGACAAGAAGACCCUGUAGAACUUUAUGAGUUUAAAGUAUAAUCACACUAUUUAACUUAUUUAGUUGGGGAGACGGUAAAUAAUUCAAAACAUUUAUUUUUUAUAAACACAAAUAAGUGAACUUUUUAAAAUCCUGGUUUAAUGAAAUAAAACUAAGUUACCUAAGGGAUAACAGCGUAAAAUUUUUAGAAAGAUCAAAUUUAGAAAAUUUAUUACGACCUCGAUGUUGGAUUAAGCA